GCGGCAACAGCUCAAAUUUGAAAUCUGGCCCCCCGCGGGCCCGAGUUGUACUUUGGAGAGGACGCUUCUGGCGCGGCGCCGUCCGAGUUCCCUGGAACGGGACGCCGGAGAGGGUGAGAGCCCCGUACGGGCGGCCGCCUAGCCUCUGCGAAGCUCCUUCGACGAGUCGAGUAGUUUGGGAAUGCUGCUCAAAAUGGGAGGUAAAUUUCUUCUAAAGCUAAAUACCGGCCAGAGACCGAUAGCGCACAAGUAGAGUGAUCGAAAGAUGAAAAGCACUUUGAAAAGAGGGUCAAACAGUACGUGAAAUUGUUGAAAGGGAAGCGCCUGUGGCCAGACUUGCGCCCCGCGGACCACCCGGCGCCUCGCGCGCCGGGGCACGCCAGCGGGGCGCAGGCCAGCAUCGGCUCUCUCGGGGGGACAAAGGCCGCGGGAACGUAGCGCCCUCGCGGCGUAUUAUAGCCCGCGGCGCCAUGCCCCCGGGGGGGCCGAGGACCGCGCUCCGGCAAGGAUGCUGGCGUAAUGGCCACCGGCGACCCGUCUUGAAACACGGACCAAGGAGUCAAGCAUUGGGGCGAGUGUCUGGGUGGCAAGCCCGCACGCGGAAUGAAAGUGAACGCAGGUGGGAGCUUCGGCGCACCACCGACCGAUCCUGAUGUCCUCGGAUGGAUUUGAGUAGGAGCCCCGCCGCUUGGACCCGAAAGAUGGUGAACUAUGCCUGUAUAGGGUGAAGCCAGAGGAAACUCUGGUGGAGGCCCGCAGC
rnacentral:rRNA from 1 species